rnacentral:rRNA from 1 species
GACGAACGCUGGCGGCGUGCUUAACACAUGCAAGUCGAACGGUAAGGCCCUUCGGGGUACACGAGUGGCGAACGGGUGAGUAACACGUGGGUGAUCUGCCCUGCACUUCGGGAUAAGCCUGGGAAACUGGGUCUAAUACCGGAUAGGACCACUGCCUGCAAGGGUGGUGGUGGAAAGCUUUUGCGGUGUGGGAUGGGCCCGCGGCCUAUCAACUUGUUGGUGGGGUGAUGGCCUACCAAGGCGACGACGGGUAGCCGGCCUGAGAGGGUGACCGGCCACACUGGGACUGAGAUACGGCCCAGACUCCUACGGGAGGCAGCGGUGGGGAAUAUUGCACAAUGGGCGCAAGCCUGAUGCAGCGACGCCGCGUGAGGGAUGACGGCCUUCGGGUUGUAAACCUCUUUCAGCACCGACGAAGCGCAAGUGACGGUAGGUGCAGAAGAAGGACCGGCCAACUACGUGCCAGCAGCCGCGGUAACAC